rnacentral:rRNA from 1 species
UACGUAGGGCGCAAGCGUUGUCCGGAAUUAUUGGGCGUAAAGAGCUCGUAGGCGGCGGACACAGUCAGAUGUGAAAUUCCCGGGCUCAACCUGGGGGCUGCAUUUGAUACGUGUUUGCUUGAGUGGGGAAGAGGGUCGUGGAAUUCCCAGUGUAGAGGUGAAAUUCGUAGAUAUUGGGAAGAACACCGGUGGCGAAGGCGGCGACCUGGUCCUUGACUGACGCUGAGGCGCGAAAGCGUGGGGAGCAAACAGG